CCGGAACACAUGAGGAACGUUUUCAGGCGCACAUCGCCCGAGCAGUCUGCAAUAUCCUCUGCGUUUUAUUUGGACAAAGCCGCGGGCUAGCGGGCAGGCGAAUUCUCUUGGCCUCCUCACGCAUUCGGGCUCCAUUUUCUGGAAUGCAGCAAUGCUGCUCCCAGUCAAAAGUCUCGCAUGGCUUUUGCGACAACCGCUGCCAGUAUUACCAUAGACAACAUUUAUGGUGCAUGCACGGGCGUUUGCCACCGGACGGACAACCCGUUUCAACAGGUGCCUCCAACAGAAAAACAAU